GCCUACGGGGGGCAGCAGUAGGGAAUUUUCGUCAAUGGGCGCAAGCCUGAACGAGCAAUGCCGCGUGAACGAGGAAGGUCUUCGGAUCGUAAAGUUCUGUUGAAGGGGAAAAAGAGCGGAGAGAGGAAAUGGUCUCCGAUUGAUAUUACCCUUCGAGGAAGUCACGGCUAACUACGUGCCAGCAGCCGCGGUAAUACGUAGGUGGCGAGCGUUAUCCGGAAUGAUUGGGCGUAAAGGGUGCGUAGGCGGCCUGUUAAGUCUGGAGUGAAAGGAACCGGCUCAACCGGUACAGGCUCUGGAACCUG
rnacentral:rRNA from 1 species